UGAAUUCUGCUUUGCAGUGUUAUGAACCCUGAGGCCUCUGAGCAGCUCCAAGGGUCUGUGUGGGGCCAAAGUUGGGCCAAAGACAUUUUGCUUUGGAUCUUUCAAUCACCUGCACAUCCAUAACUAAGAUGUCACUUUCCACUGAAUUCUGUUUUGUCAUUUUCAUCAAAAGGAGGAAGGACUAACGGGGACAAGAAGAUGUAUUCCUUCAGUUCUUGAUUCUGCCCAAUUAUCCUUUUUCCCUUAGACAUUUUGCUUUGGAUCUUUCAAUCACCUGCACGUCCAUUACUAAGAUGUCACUUUCCACUGAAUUCUGUUUUGUUAUUUUUGUCAAAAGAAUCUAACCACCAGAGCAGUCAGUAACUUGCUGCCGUUCACACAGUUGUUAUGACGGUUUGAAUUUUCGUCCUUUGAGAAAUGGAACCAUAUCUCACAAAUUCCAUGUAGCACAGAGCCUGGCACACAGGAGAUCCGGAGGACAAUAUGAGGGAAACGCUGACGAUGUUUUGGGAAGAAAUGAUUCACUGUUAUAAAAAGGAUUUGGCUUAUGAACUUUCCUUUCUAUAAAUAUGAGGAGACAAACAAUGGGCGGAAAGACUAAAGAGAGAGAGAGAGAGAAUACAAGCUGGGAGAGGAGCAUAUGGAGCAAGAGAAGCAGACUCCCCGCCAAGCAGGGAGCCUGAUGCGGGACUCCAUCCCGGGACCCCAGGAUCAUGACCUGAGCCGAAGGCAGAUGCUUAAUCAACUGAGCCACCCAGGUGGACUGCCACAUGCAGCACCUCAUUUGGAUGUGUCUGGAGUCUUGGAAACUUGGCUACCCUACAUUCUCCUACAAAUGGAUGCUGAGAGCUUGUUUGGAGGUUCUAGCAUGGGAAUGCAGCUACUCAUAUACUCUUGACUGAAGAAUGUUCCUCUUCUAUGGGGAAGCUGCUAAAAAAUAAAUGAUAAUGAAAGAGGAAGUAAGUCAAGAAAGAAGAAGAGGUAAUUAGAGAUCUAACAAAAAAGAGCACCAGGCAGCCAAUCUAGAGGACCAUCAUGAAGACAGAGAUCAAGGGCAUAGAAGUCUGCAAGAAGAUCUCCAGAGGAAGAGGAGCCUCUACUACUACAUUACCUUAUGUGUUUUAGCACUGGGACAAAACUAGGGAUAGUACGGUGAGACUGGUAGAGCAGUUUGAAACUUAAAAAAUAAACAAUUUUUUAAUGAAAUAAUUGGGAAAAAUCACAUACUU